AUGAUAAUGAAUAAAUGUACAAGUGCUUUGUGUAAACUAUCAAGCAUUGAAGUUAAAGAACAGCUGUGGUGUCGUCGCUCUAAAGGAAGGAGCGGUGCUGGAAGCUUCAUCGCCAGAAGAACAAUUGUGGGCUUUCUUCUGGAAUUGGAAGUUGAAGGAGGUACCGAAGGUACGCUUGUUGUGUUGGAGGGUUGUACUGGAAGUCAUGUCCUGGUAUUCAACGGUUAUUUUCUUCACACAAAUCCACUAUUCAAUGCUCAACUUUUCCGACUAUGCUUUUGGAUGGGAAGAUAUUGUUCAACCGUAUUCGAGAGGGAGUGGUGGGUUCUGAUGAUUACUUCAAAUGCAAGUACGAUGUUAUUGGUAAGGUUGGCUUCUUCUCUUAUCAGAAAUGCACUUGAGCUAUCCGGCUGCUUGCAUAUGGAGUUCCCGGUGAUCUAA
rnacentral:rRNA from 1 species